UGACCUCGAAUCAGGUAGGGAUACCCGCUGAACUUAAGCAUAUCAAUAAGCGGAGGAA
rnacentral:rRNA from 1 species